CGUCCGCCCGCUCCGGCCACGCCCAUUCUGGCGCCAGGGCCCCGCCCACUUGCCACACCCACCACGCCGACCCACGCCCACGCCCACGCCCUACGUCGGGCCCCGCCCCUCCCAGCGCCGCGCGGGCUUGAGUGAGGUCUGAGCAAGCCGCUGGACCCGCCGCUGGGGGCCGGUCAGUCCUUCGGGACGUGAUGGUUUCCACGCGAACCGGUCAGGGUAGCUUAGCAGCUCACUAAACCGCAGCAACUGGAGCCAAACAAAUGUACAAAAGCAAGUCAGGGAGGGGAAGCGUCGCCGUGGCGCCCGCUCCAGCUCGUACUGUGUGAAUUAAUUGGAGCUUUCAAACGGGCCCAGACAACUAGCAGUAGACUGUAAAGUGACUUCUGAAGAGAUAUUUGCUCUGCCUCAGAGCCAAAUGAAGAGAACUGGGGAAUGCAGUGCCUUCUUGUUGGACUCAGAGAACUUCAAGAGGAGGGCAGAACUGAGACAGACCCAAGGCUGUUCUGCCCUGGGCAAGUGGUCUUAGCAAGGAGACCUGCUGGACAGGUCAAUUCUGAACUUUAUUUUACCUUAGUCACCUGAGAUCCCCUUUUCAGUGUCCAUUUCUGUGCACCUGGUUCCAGGUCUCCUCCCUACUAUGGUUCUGAUGCAAACAAGGGACUUUGAACUCUCCCCUUAUUUUCUUCUGCUACUUUGUUGUGGGCCUUGAGUUCUACUGGCCAAGUACCUUAGAAUUAUGUGCAAAGCAAGAGUAAAGAGAUUCUGAGCAAACAUCCUCAAUAAAGAGUGUGGAGUUGGUGGAGUUGGAGGCCCUUUUCAUUUUCUUCACAGCCUUGUAGAACACCCCUCCCCACACCCCGCUGCACUGAGACAGGGUCUUGCUAAGUUCCCUAGGCUGGCCUCAAACUCAGUCACCUUCCUCAGCCUCCCGAGUAGCUAGGUUUACAGGUGCGACUCACACCUGACUCUCGAAACUUACACAUUCAAAUGAAGUUCCUAAACAGCUGCUGUAAUAGGGCCUUGUUAAUGUAUAUAGCUUCAGCAUUGUUGUAACUAAAGCUCACCAGCAUGCACAUACAUCAACAGAAAGCAUCAUUGUAAAAUCUUUUCCCUGACUUCAACUUACAUACUCUGGGUACCACUCUCCAAUUUUUAACUAUGAAAGAACAUUCAUUAGUGCUACAAAGUUGACUAAGACAUGGGCUUUAUGGAAUAUUUUUAAAAGCUGAUUUCUGUUAAUAGGAAGGUUUGAAUUGUUUAGUCUUACGUAAUGUUGUAGUGCUUGAGGGAAAUGCCAGGAUAUGGUAUCAUAUUUUGUCCAAUUGAUUAUAGUGUGUAGGAGUAAGGAAUCUAAAAUUGAUGUGACAAUUGGCAGUUCACUAACUGCCAUCUUCCUAUAUUCCCAGAAUGGAUGUCCAUCAGAAGCACGAGAGCGUAAACACAUUGACUCAUAACUGCUCGUAAAUCUCUAGCAUUCAGCUAUAUUUUAGAUAAUGUUUAGCUCAUGUGCAGUGAGUCAGUGAAGAGAAUCAUGGGUUUGUUUUCCAAUUUGGGGGGUAGAAUAGACUGGCAAUCACCCUUCCUCCUUCCAGUUAAGUCUCUUAUGAACUGUAGAAAUAGACUGGAGUUGCUGACACCUUGAUUUAGUAAGCAUGGGCCAAAUAAUCAUAGCAAUCAACAGGUUGUCACAUCAACAAAUAAUAUCUAUAAUAUUUUUCUGUGCUUCUCUCCUUUAAAAUCUGCGGCCCUUCACAAUUCAAAUUCAAACCUGUGGAUAUCUGACCUUUUCCUUUCUUCCC